CUCAAGCUACCACUUACUGUUGAUUGUGAUGAAAUGCCAGCUGAGGCACACGCCUUGGGAGCUAAGUGGUUGCUGCCCUUGACUACUAUGAAGACUGGUGUGGGAAGGGUCGCUUUGGAUGCACUUGAGCAGGGGUCCCCAACCCCUGAGCCAUGGAGCCGUAAGGAGCCACACAGCAGGUGAGUGGUGUCGAGUGAGGGAGUGAGGGAAGCUUCGUCUGUAUUUACAGCCACUCCCCUUUGCUCACAUUCCCGCCUGAGCUCCACCUUCUCAGAUGAGCAGCAGCAUUAGAUUCUCAUAGGAGAACGCACCCUGUUGUGAACCGUGCAUGUGAGGGAUCUAGGUUGCGCUGUGCUUAUGAGAAUCUAAUACCUAUUGAUCUGUCACUUUCCCCCAUCACGCUCAGGUGGGACCAUCCAGUUUCAGGAAAACAAGCUUAACACGCCCACUGAUUCUACAUUAUGCUCCUACCUCCCGGCAGCCUCGCCAGGCCCAGAACUCUCUCCAGUCAGCCUCUACAGACCAAGCUCAUGACUCACAAUGGCCUAUUUAGGCCCAUACCCUACCUCACGGCAGUCUCCUCAGAGGAGCCUACUGCCUCACAACAGCCUCCACAGGCACAGCUCCAUCGUUACAAUGGCCUCUUUAGACCCAGCUCCUGCCUCCCAGCCUUCUCUCCAGGCCCUGAACUUUCUCCGUGGGACCAUCCAGUUUCAGGAAAACAAGCUUAACACGCCCACUGAUUCUACAUUAUGCUCCUACCUCCCGGCAGCCUCGCCAGGCCCAGAACUCUCUCCAGUCAGCCUCUACAGACCAAGCUCAUGACUCACAAUGGCCUAUUUAGGCCCAUACCCUACCUCACGGCAGUCUCCGCAGAUGAGCCUACUGCCUCACAACAGCCUCCACAGGCACAGCUCCGUCGUUACAAUGGCCUCUUUAGACCCAGCUCCUGCCUCCCAGCCUUCUCUCCAGGCCCUGAACUUCCUCCGUGGGACCAUCCAGUUUCAGGAAAACAAGCUUAACACGCCCACUGAUUCUACAUUAUGAUUCUUCAGGCCCAGCAUCUGCCUCACUGUGGACCCCCCAAGCCAAGCUCCCAACCUUUCAGCAGCUUCUACACACCCAGCUCCCGCCUGCCAGUGGCCUCUUCAGGCCCAUGGGGCUCAUUCCUCACAACAGCCUUUCCAGUCCCAGUUUUUCCCUUCCGGCGGCCUCUCCGGGCUGAGAACCUCCUCAAGUCGGCCUCUCCAGACUCACUUGCACCCUCCAGGCGUCCUCUCCGGGCCAAGCUCCUCUUCCUGGCUGAGUCUCCAGGCCUGACUCCUGCCUCUCAACAACCUCUUUGGACUCAGUGCCUACCCAUCUCCUGGCGUCCUUGGUCGGCCCACAGCUUCCUCAAGCCAAGCUCCCCAGGCCCAGGUCAGGCCUCACGGUGCCCCCUCCACGAUGAGCUCCUGCCCUCCAAUGGCACCUGCAGGACCCAAAUGGUCUCCGGUCGGUGGGCUCCUCCACGCCAAGUUUGGGCCUCCCGGUGACCUCUGCAGGCCCAAGUUGUCCUGAAGUCGGCAUCUCCCAGCCAUGCCUCCCAGCAAGUAAGCAAGCUCUUUUGGCUCAACUCCUGCCCAGCUCCCAACCGCCUUUGUAGGUCCCGAACUUUCUCCAGCCAAGUUCUUUGGGCCUCAUUCCUGCCGCCCGGUGGCCUGUACGGGCCCAGCAAUGGUUGGAGAACGGCCUCUGCAGGUCCCGCUCUUGCCUCCCAGGGGCCUCUCCAGGCCCAGCUCUUGCCCCCACGGCGGCCACCUGGGGCCAAGUCCCUGCCUGCCUCCCAGCAGCCCGCAUGCGGCCCAGCUCCUCCCUCACGGUGGCCUGUUGAUGCCCAUGCCUCUGGUACCCUGCCCAGAGGCAUGAGCCCCUGCCACACACUGGCUCCUCCCAUGCUGAGAGAGGUCAGCGUGAGCCCUUGCCUCACACCGGCCCCUCCCAUCCUGAGAGAGGUCAGCGUGAGCCCCUUGACUCACACUGGCUCCUCCCACGCUGAGAGAGGUCAGCGUGAGCCCUUGCCUCACACCGGCCCCUCCCAUGCUGAGAGAGGUCGGCGUGAGCCCUUGACUCACACCGGCCCCUCCCACGGUGAGAGAGGUCAGCGUCAGCCCCUUGCCUCACACCGGCCCCUCCCACGCUGAGAGAGGUCGGCGUGAGUCCUUGCCUCACACCGGCCCCUCCCACAGUGAGAGAGGUCAGCGUCAGCCCCUUGCCUCACACCGGCCCCUCCCACGCUGAGAGAGGUCAGCGUCAGCCCCUUGCCUCACACCGGCCCCUCCCACGGUGAGAGAGGUCAACAUGAGCCCCUUGCCUCACACCGGCCCCUCCCACGCUGAGAGAGGUCGGCGUCAGCCCCUUGCCUCACACCGGCCCCUCCCACGCUGAGAGAGGUUGGCGUGAGCCCCUUGCCUCACACCGGCCCCUCCCACGCUGAGAGAGGUCGGCGUCAGCCCCUUGCCUCACACCGGCCCCUCCCACGCUGAGAGAGGUUGGCGUGAGCCCCUUGCCUCACACCGGCCCCUCCCACGCUGAGAGAGGUCGGCGUCAGCCCCUUGCCUCACACCGGCCCCUCCCACGCUGAGAGAGGUUGGCGUGAGCCCCUUGCCUCACACCGGCCCCUCCCACGCUGAGAGAGGUCAACAUGAGCCCCUUGCCUCACACCGGCCCCUCCCACGCUG